GCUUUGUGAGGUACAAUGGAAGAUGACCUCCAAGAAACUGACCAACUGGGAGAGGUUGGAUUAUCCCAUCAUCUCAAUCUAAGCCUCUCGGUUCGGGUUGAGCAUAGAGACGCUGCUCCACUCCUAGGCAUCCUAUAGAUGCCACAUAGGAGAAGAAACUGCAUGCAAUAGAAAUGAAAUGGAUACCAUGAACAGGUCACGUUGAAAAACUAGAGGACUAUUUUGAGAAGCUAAUGAGAAUCCAGAAUCUUACUUAUAAAGUGACGUACGUUGGAUCGGAGCCUGAUCCUUAGUUUCUUUCUCAAUGAUCUCUUAAAGGAAUAUAACUUUAAUCAUACGGGAAGUUGAUACACAAUAUUAGUAAACUUCUGGAUAAUUCGUGUACAAUGAAAGAUAACACAGAUUCAGUAAAUCAAGUUUCAAAUAUUCCUAAAACAUUGUAGGGG
rnacentral:lncRNA from 1 species